CCUACGGGCGGCAGCAGUGGGGAAUAUUGGACAAUGGGCGAAAGCCUGAUCCAGCCAUGCCGCGUGUGUGAAGAAGGCCUUCGGGUUGUAAAGCACUUUCAGUGGGAAGAAAGCCUUGGGGCUAAUACCCUCGAGGAAGGACAUCACCCACAGAAGAAGCACCGGCUAACUCCGUGCCAGCAGCCGCGGUAAUACGGAGGGUGCGAGCGUUAAUCGGAAUUACUGGGCGUAAAGCGCGCGUAGGCGGUCUGAUAAGCCGGUUGUGAAAGCCCCGGGCUCAACCUGGGAACGGCAUCCGGAACUGUCAGGCUAGAGUGCAGGAGAGGAAGGUAGAAUUCCCGGUGUAGCGGUGAAAUGCGUAGAGAUCGGGAGGAAUACCAGUGGCGAAGGCGGCCUUCUGGACUGACACUGACGCUGAGGUGCGAAAGCGUGGGUAGCAAACAGGAUUAGAUACCCGUGUAGUC
rnacentral:rRNA from 1 species